rnacentral:rRNA from 1 species
AUUGAACGCUGGCGGCAGGCCUAACACAUGCAAGUCGAACGGUAACAGGAAGAAGCUUGCUUCUUUGCUGACGAGUGGCGGACGGGUGAGUAAUGUCUGGGAAACUGCCUGAUGGAGGGGGAUAACUACUGGAAGCGGUAGCUAAUACCGCAUAACGUCGCAAGACCAAAGAGGGGGACCUUCUGGCCUCUUGCCAUCUGAUGUGCCCAGAUGGGAUUAGCUAGUAGGUGGGGUAACGGCUCACCUAGGCGACGAUCCCUAGCUGGUCUGAGAGGAUGACCAGCCACACUGGAACUGAGACACGGUCCAGACUCCUACGGGAGGCAGCAGUGGGGAAUAUUGCACAAUGGGCGCAAGCCUGAUGCAGCCAUGCCGCGUGUAUGAAGAAGGCCUUCGGGUUGUAAAGUACUUUCAGCGGGGAGGAAGGGAGUAAAGUUAAUACCUUUGCUCAUUGACGUUACCCGCAGAAGAAGCACCGGCUAACUCCGUG